rnacentral:rRNA from 1 species
CACAAGCAGUGGAGUAUGUGGAUUAAUUCGAUGAUACGCGAGGAACCUUACCCGGGCUUGAAUUGCAGCGGAAUAAUGUGGAAACACAUUAGUCUUCGGACCGCUGUGAAGGUGCUGCAUGGUUGUCGUCAGCUCGUGCCGUGAGGUGUUAGGUUAAGUCCUGCAACGAGCGCAACCCUUACACUUAGUUGCCAGCACGUUAAGGUGGGAACUCUAAGUGAACUGCCUACGCAAGUAGAGAGGAAGGUGGGGAUGACGUCAAAUCAGCACGGCCCUUAUGUUCGGGGCUACACACGUGCUACAAUGGUCGGUACAGAGGGCAGCUACCCCGCGAGGGGAUGCGAAUCUCGAAAGCCGAUCUCAGUUCGGAUCGGAGUCUGUAACUCGACUCCGUGAAGUUGGAUUCGCUAGUAAUCGCACAUCAGCCAUGGUGCGGUGAAUACGUUCCCGGGCCUUGUACACACCGCCCGUCAAGCCAUGGAAGCCUGUGGUACCUAAAGUCCGUGCCCGCAAGGAGCGGCCUAGGGUAAAACCGGUAACUGGGGCUAAGUCGUAACAAGGUAGCCGUA